rnacentral:rRNA from 1 species
CCCUUAGAUGUUCUGGGCUGCACGCGCGCUAAACUGAUGCACUCAACGAGUUUACGACCUUGCCCGAUAGGGUUGGGUAAUCUUUUUAAAAUGCAUCGUGAUGGGGAUAGAUUAUUGCAAUUAUUAAUCUUCAACGAGGAAUUCCUAGUAAGCGCGAGUCAUCAGCUCGUGCUGAUUACGUCCCUGCCCUUUGUACACACCGCCCGUCGCUCCUACCGAUUGAGUGCUCAGGUGAAUAAUUCGGACUGCAGCAAUGUUUGGAUCCCGAACGUUGCAGCGGAAAGUUUAGUGAACCUUAUCACUUAGAGGAAGGAGAAGUCGUAACA